GUGAUAUUCAUUGGCUGUGACCCAGUUUAAAACUAGCCACUGCAGAUUUAUGUCCUUUGUUUCAGAUUGUACAGGGAGAUCCUUCUCUACCUUCUCAUCAACUAUUGGCAGAAGAAAGGAUUGCCAUAACAAAGGUUGAAUCUACCAUGAAAAUUGCACAGCUUACUAGAAUUAAUCCACAAGAGCCUGUAUAUUGAUUAACAUUUUCCACUGUUCAUACCCCUGCAGGAGCAAUGUGGUGAUAAUUGGGAAUUAUUGAGUGGCCUUGCCUAACUCAUUCUCCUCAAAAGUCAUCGACUCCAUUCCAUGCUUUUAUUGCUCAGUUAGUUACUAAAGGAAGAACACGAGUUUUCCAGAUAGUUGGGUCAUAGCCUAAUAUUAUUGUUGCCCCUUUUUCUACUCAAGAGCAUGAUUGGCUUUGGCAAUCUUCUAAUACUUGGGAGAUAGCUUUUGCUAAUUUCCCUGGUCAAAUGGAAAGCCAUUACCUUCAUGAUAAAAUUAUUCAGUUUGCUCUUGUGACUACAUUUAUUAUCCCCCAAAUUGUAUGUGCUUAACCAAUAGUUGGAGCACUAACAAUAUUUACUGAUGGAUUGAGUUCAGGAAAAGCAGGUUUCUAUAGCCAUGCUCAUACAGAGAUUAUACAGACAUCAUAUACUUCUGCAGAAUGAUCAGAAAUUUAAGCUCUCAUUUGUGCUUUAAUUCAUUUUGCAAACAAGUCAAUCCAUAUUCAUUCUGAUAGUUUAUAUUACAGUUGGAGUCACAAAAAAUAUUGAAACAUAAACUACUGGGAACAUAUAUUGCAAGAGUUAUUUAAUUUGUUUCAGACCUUACAAAAGACAAUUCAAAUGUGUCACCAUCCAUGUUUCAUUAGCCAUAUAAGGGCACAUUCUAAUCUUCCAAGUCCUUUAGAAUCAGGUAAUGAUAAGAUUAAUAAACUUGUUGCUGUUUGUGAAUAAAUAUCUUUAUAUGAUUGUGCACAAGCC
rnacentral:lncRNA from 1 species